UUCUUUAAUGAAUUAUGUACUCUUCUUGAAUUUAGUCGGCGUGCUCGAAGCCAAAGUGUCCGUCACCGAAUGAGUGCCUAAAAGAUGAGUCCUUAUUUGAAGUAAUUGGCGGGAAAACAUACCUCAAAAAAGAACAUGAGAUCCGUGGCAAGUGGGAGCAAACGAAAUUCGGCUUUUAUUUCUUCGGAGAAAAAUUGGUGAACUGGAAGGAAAAUUGGAUGACAUGCUGCAGUCUGGGACUCAAACCUUUAGCCCUGACUAAAGCUCUAUUCGACCAUAAUAAUGAAAAUCCAAAUAUCCCCACUCAGGGUGUGGUUUACUGGUCGGCAAUGACUCGAGAUGGAUGUCCUCUCCACUUUGAAAACUGCCUCCACAACACAUCAUCGGAAUUGCUCGACACCAUUAUCUGUGGAAUCCGAAAAGGAGGGUCUUCUUGUGUGGCCGUUUCGAACCGAGACCAAUCACUCAGAGUAAUCAUAGGCACGAGUCUGCUAGUAAAAGCUACCGUUUGCUACUCCAAACUGCUGUUGGGCUGCGAAGGAACGGCACAGACCUUCGAAAUCAGGGUGGACACAAGCAACUGCGAUCUGCCAGAGUGCACAGGGCUACCCAAUUGCGUUGUGAAAGUGAAAUUG